GCUUGUUGGUGGGGUAAUGGCCUACCAAGGCGACGACGGGUAGCCGGCCUGAGAGGGUGACCGGCCACACUGGGACUGAGAUACGGCCCAGACUCCUACGGGAGGCAGCAGUGGGGAAUAUUGCACAAUGGGCGCAAGCCUGAUGCAGCGACGCCGCGUGAGGGAUGACGGCCUUCGGGUUGUAAACCUCUUUCAGCACAGACGAAGCGCAAGUGACGGUAUAUGCAGAAGAAGGACCGGCCAACUACGUGCCAGCAGCCGCGGUAAUACGUAGGGUCCGAGCGUUGUCCGGAAUUACUGGGCGUAAAGAGCUCGUAGGUGGUUUGUCGCGUUGUCCGUGAAAACUCACAGCUCAACUGUGGGCGUGCGGGCGAUACGGGCAGACUGGAGUACUGCAGGGGAGACUGGAAUUCCUGGUGUAGCGGUGGAAUGCGCAGAUAUCAGGAGGAACACCGGUGGCGAAGGCGGGUCUCUGGGCAGUAACUGACGCUGAGGAGCGAAAGCGUGGGGAGCGAACAGGAUUAGAUACCCUGGUAGUCCACGCCGUAAACGGUGGGUACUAGGUGUGGGUUUCCUUCCUUGGGAUCCGUGCCGUAGCUAGCGCAUUAAGUACCCCGCCUGGGGAGUACGGAAUCUCUAGAGGAUCCCC
rnacentral:rRNA from 1 species